AUGAAGUGCUACAACUGUGGGCAAAAGGGACACCUGGCCAGAAACUGUUCUGAGCCUAAGAAGGAGCGAACAAACACAUAGUUCGUGACAGACAGGGCUUUGUGGAUUUUCACCGAAUCCCAACUGGAACUCAGUAUGUCUAUCUGGGAAAUAAUGGACAAGUGGAGAUUUUGGGAUGCGGUUCCUAUCAACUUAGAUUGUUAGGGGGUCGCAAUUUAAUCCUACAUGAUGUUCUGUAUUGUCCAACUUUUCGGUGUAACCUUUGCUCUGUGCUAGCUUUAUUGCCUUUAGGUUAUUCUUUUCAUUUUGAGAACAAUGUUGUUGACAUGUUUUAUGAUAAUAAAUUGUUCUUUAAUGGACAA